AUUAGAACUUACAAGAUAGAUUGGUCCUUCGGGAACUCAAUACAGGUGGCUGCAUGGCUGUCGUCAGCUCGUGUCGUGAGAUGUUGGGUUAAGUCCCGCAACGAGCGCAACCCUUUUCCUUAGUUUGCCAGCAUNAUUAUGGCGGAGCAACUACUUAGGAGAUUAGCUGGCCUAGAGCACAANGCUCGGGAGAGGAGAUGGUGGAGCGAACGGAUCCGUACAAUCAUUCNAUUCAGUCGCGCUCCUUUAACCGNUCCAGGNACUAACACAGUCGUUGACUAACAAGUGNGUCUGAGUAACAAGAGUGCGUUGCUACCUGACGACGAGUAGAGAGUUGACAUAACUCUCAAAAAACC
rnacentral:rRNA from 1 species